rnacentral:lncRNA from 1 species
CUUUCAUUUUCAUUGUCAUUUACCUCACCCGCAGAACAUCUCUCUUAAUAGUGAAUCCUAGCCAACGUUGUUUCAUCUGUGCAUCUCUCAGGCGGAAGUCAUUUCCCUGACCUUCAACAAAAUCGUCUCCAAAAAUCAUUUACCGUUUGUUUGAAUAUGCAGAAGAAAGAAUCGCUGGAGAAGUGGGUAUCGGUAAGAAGGGAGUUUUAUGCCAGAAAGUAAGGGUUCUUAAGAUUGGCUUUGUUGUUGCAGCUUUUGAGGUAUUUAGCUAAAGAUUUGUUAAUUUCUAGUGCAAGUUUAUGCUGAUUUCAGUGAUUUGUUUAUUUUUUCUCGUUCAAUGGCAUUGAGAUUAAACUCGUUAAUAAAUUCAUCUCGUGUAAGAAGAGUAUUUUUUGUGACUUGUAGAUUCUAAUUUCUUAUGUUUAUAAACAGGUUGAAUCUGUACAUGGACCAUGGUAGUGGAUUUGAAAGAAUACUACUAUACCCUAUUUUCGGUUGUAGUAGAAACGGCAAACAACAUAUAUCGUAUUUUAUUUGGUGUACAUAUUUAUUUUAUUUUAUUUUAUUUUUUAUUUGUUG